CUUCCUUUCGUGUUUUGAUAUCUUGUUGUUUUGCUACUCUCACUUCGGAGUUCGGAUGGUGUCUAGCAACGUUGGGUACCUCGUUUCUUGUGUGUGUGAGCGAGUGGUUGCUGUUUACGAUGUGUUCAUAUAUCGCUUUGUAGUGCUGUAAUGUGCAAAUUAGCGGACUUUAUAGCGGCUCUCUAUUUUCCGUCGUUGUCUUUCGAGCGGCGCCUGUUGUUCCGGUAAAAAUCGAGUUGAAUGAAUCGCCACAGCCCCAACGUAUAUCGCGCAGUGUUGACCAAGACCAAGUCAAGCAGGAAUUCUGGCAUGGUAUGUGGCUGCACGAAGGAUUCCGGAAAAGAAAAACAACAACAUGGCUAAUAGGAUGUUGCUGCCCAGGGAGUCCUGGCGAAGAGGUUUACUCAUUCCAGAAGCAAGAAUUGUAUCAUUGUAAGGCGAAUGGAAAUAAACUGACAUCGACUGAGA